UACGAGGGGUGCAAGCGUUGUCCGGAAUCAUUGGGCGUAAAGAGCGUGUAGGCGGCCCGGUAAGUCCGCUGUGAAAGUCCAGGGCUCAACCCUGGGAUGCCGGUGGAUACUGUCGGGCUCGAGUCCGGAAGAGGAGUGUGGAAUUCCUGGUGUAGCGGUGAAAUGCGCAGAUAUCAGGAGGAACACCAAUGGCGAAGGCAGCACUCUGGGACGUGACUGACGCUGAGACGCGAAAGCGUGGGGAGCAAACAGG
rnacentral:rRNA from 1 species